rfam:Prunus persica cultivar Lovell chromosome G7, whole genome shotgun sequence.
GUGCAAUUGAGGUUAUACUUGUCCCAAUACAAAUUUCCAUUCUCUUAACUUUGUCAGCUGGGCUCAAUCACUUGCAGCUGAUUUUCAUGAGUGGGACAUUA